CGUUCAGCCACUCAUUCACACACUAACUCACCCAUUCACACACUAACUCGCCCACUCGUUCACACACUAACUCACCCAUUCACACACUCAUUCAUACACUAACCCACCCAGUCAUUCACACACUAACCCGACUCAUUCACACACUAACCCACUCAUUCACACACUAACUCAUCCACACCCACUCAUUCACACACUAACCCACUCAUUCACACACUAACCCACUCACUCACUGGUUCCCUCACUCACCAACUCGUUCACCCAGUCAUCUGCAUACUAAUUCACUUACCUGCUCAUCCACCCGUUCCCUGACUCACCCAUUCACCCACUCAUCAUUCACUCACUCCUUAAGCACCCAUUCAUUCACAGCUCACCCACUGUCACCCACCCAUUCAUUCGCCUACUCAUGUACUCAUUUACCCCUCAGCCCUCACUCAUCACUGUCACUCACUCAUUGUUCAUUCACCCGUUCACUCAUUCACACACUCAUUUACACACUAACCCACUCACUGUCAUGCAUUCAUUCGCCUACUCAUGUACUCAUUUACCCCUCAGCCCUCACUCACCACUGUCAUUCACUCACUCAGUCACCGUUCCAUUCAUUUAUUCACCCGUUCACUCAUUCAUUCCCUAAUUCACCCACUCAUCCUUCACCCAUUCACUCACUAAUUUACACCAAGUCACUCCCACUCAUUCAGAUACAGGCUGGUCCAGCGAC
rnacentral:lncRNA from 1 species